GGAAUCUUGCGCAAUGGGCGAAAGCCUGACGCAGCAACGCCGCGUGCGGGAAGAAGGCUUUCGGGCUGUAAACCGCUUUCAGCAGGAACGAAAAUGACGGUACCUGCAGAAGAAGGAGCGGCCAACUAUGUGCCAGCAGCCGCGGUGAUACAUAGGCUUCAAGCGUUGUCCGGAUUUAUUGGGCGUAAAGAGUUCGUAGGCGGUCAAGUAAGUCGGGUGUGAAAAUUCUGGGCUCAACCCAGAGACGCCACCCGAUACUGCUUAACUUGAGUUCGAUAGGGGAGUGGGGAAUUCCUAGUGUAGCGGUGAAAUGCGCAGAUAUUAGGAGGAACACCGGUGGCGAAGGCGCCACUCUGGAUCGAUACUGACGCUGAGGAACGAAAGCAUGGGUAGCAAACAGGAUUAGAUACCCUGGUAGUCCAUGCCGUAAACGGUGGGCACUAGGUGUGGGAUUCUAUUAACGAAUUCCGCGCCGUCGCUAACGCAUUAAGUGCCCCGCCUGGGGAGUACGGUCGCAAGACUAAAACUCAAAGGAAUUGACGG
rnacentral:rRNA from 1 species